AAAACAUCUCUUAUUUAUUUUAUAUUAAGUAUGGCCUGCCCUAUGAUUAAUUAAAUGGCUGCAGUAUUUUUGACUGUACAAAGGUAGCAUAAUCAUUAGUUUAUUAAUUGUAAACUUGUAUGAAUGGUUUGACGAAAUAUUAACUGUCUCGAUUUUAUUUUUAGAAUUUAAUUUUUUAGUUAGAAAGCUUAAAUUGUUUUAUUGGACGAUAAGACCCUAUAGAUCUUUAUUUUUUUAUUUUAAUAUUUUUUUUAGUUUAUUUAUUAAUUUUAUUUAUUUAAUUUUUUGUUGGGGUGACAGGGAGAUAUUAAGAACUCUUUUUAUUUUUAUUCAUUUAUUUAUGGUUAUUAUAUUUUUUAUUAUGGGAUUAAGACUAAGAUACCUUAGGGAUAACAGCGUUAUUUUCUUUGAGAGUUCAUAUUGACAAGAAAGAUUGCGACCUCGAUGUUGGAUUAAGAAAAAUUUAAGGUGCAGUAAUUUUAAUUUUAGGUCUGUUCGACCUUUUAAUUCUUACA
rnacentral:rRNA from 1 species